rnacentral:rRNA from 1 species
GACGAACGCUGGCGGCGUGCUUAACACAUGCAAGUCGAACGGAAAGGCCCUGCUUUUGUGGGGUGCUCGAGUGGCGAACGGGUGAGUAACACGUGAGUAACCUGCCCUUGACUUUGGGAUAACUUCAGGAAACUGGGGCUAAUACCGGAUAGGAGUUCCUGCUGCCUGGUGGGGGUUGGAAAGUUUCGGCGGUUGGGGAUGGACUCGCGGCUUAUCAGCUUGUUGGUGGGGUAGUGGCUUACCAAGGCUUUGACGGGUAGCCGGCCUGAGAGGGUGACCGGCCAAAUUGGGACUGAGAUACGGCCCAGACUCCUACGGGAGGCAGCAGUGGGGAAUAUUGCACAAUGGGCGGAAGCCUGAUGCAGCAACGCCGCGUGCGGGAUGACGGCCUUCGGGUUGUAAACCGCUUUCGCCUGUGACGAAGCGUGAGUGACGGUAAUGGGUAAAGAAGCACCGGCUAACUACGUG